AUGGCGACGUUUGUAACCGUCUGGUAGUGGGCCGCCCAUGGUCAGAGGAAUUGAUUGCGAAGGAUAGUGGAGUAGACACGUGGCCAUCACCGCGGCUUGCCACGCGAAAUCUGUUACGUGGGGUGGAGCAGCGUCCGUUGUCGUGACUCGCCAGUGGAUGGGGGAAUCGCCUGGUAUCCGCCGCAGGAGGUGGAGCAGGUUCGUGGCCGUUAUUGUGGCCUACCAGGGGGUAGUGGAGCUG
rnacentral:lncRNA from 1 species